CUUUAUCCAGGCAGUGCAAUACGUUGCUUGCCAGACUAGAAAAUGAUAUAUUAGCCAUCUGGGCAAUGGGCCCAACCCUGGGCAAGAUUAGUGCUUCAAUUAGCUGUUGAUAGCUUUCCAUUAGAAUAUUGGUUUCAAAGAGCACUAAACAAGAAUGUUGUGCUUUGAUUUUCAGAUUUAAUUACUUCCAUCAGGGCUAUAAAUGAACUCAUUAGUCUUAGUGGCUCUAAAACCUAGAGACAAUAGAAUGUUAUUGCCAUUGUUCUUAUGGUUUGUGCAAACAUUACUUUCAGAAUGCUAUUAGGGAUGGCUAUCAACCUUUCCACUCUUCCUAAUGUAGCUGGCUGGCUGACCCUGCACAGCAGCUCUGGGAAUAAAAUGGAGAAUGGGAAUGCAGCGAGGCGGAUGCUGCCAGUCAUCGCCCGCCCGCAGGACUGGAACCCCCUGGGGUCAUCUGCUGUUCCCCAGCAAAGAAACCUGGUCCUGAGCAGCUGGAACUAACUCUGAAGUCAGCACUGAUUUGAGAAAGUCCAAAGGCCCUUCCAAACAAAAUUGUACAAUAAUUCUGGGAGGAAAAGGGAAUCAUGAAUAAGCCGCAUAGUAGGGAAAGGGUAAGGGGUUGGUGUUUCCUGAAAUGACAAAAACCAACAUAGUGUUAGAUUAUAUGUAAUAUAUUAUUUAUAAUAUAUUAUAUAUAAUAUAAUAUAUGUAAUUAUAUAUUAGAUCAGCAAUAUACCAUGUCAUUUAUUAAAAACCCUAAGCCUUGCAGAGUUUUCUUUCAUCUGAGGUGUGUUUCACUUGGUAGAAGUCCCUUUGUUUUUCUGGUUUCUUUCUUCUGUGGAGGAAGGAUGUCAUGUGUAAAUAAAGGAUAUGAUGCUCUGCA
rnacentral:lncRNA from 1 species